rnacentral:rRNA from 1 species
AGGAAAAGAAACCAACCGGGAUUGCCUUAGUAACGGCGAGUGAAGCGGCAAAAGCUCAAAUUUGAAAUCUGGUACCUUCGGUGCCCGAGUUGUAAUUUGGAGAGGGCAACUUUGGGGCCGUUCCUUGUCUAUGUUCCUUGGAACAGGACGUCAUAGAGGGUGAGAAUCCCGUGUGGCGAGGAGUGCGGUUCUUUGUAAAGUGCCUUCGAAGAGUCGAGUUGUUUGGGAAUGCAGCUCUAAGUGGGUGGUAAAUUCCAUCUAAAGCUAAAUAUUGGCGAGAGACCGAUAGCGAACAAGUACAGUGAUGGAAAGAUGAAAAGAACUUUGAAAAGAGAGUGAAAAAGUACGUGAAAUUGUUGAAAGGGAAGGGCAUUUGAUCAGACAUGGUGUUUUGUGCCCUCUGCUCCUUGUGGGUAGGGGAAUCUCGCAUUUCACUGGGCCAGCAUCAGUUUUGGUGGCAGGAUAAAUCCAUAGGAAUGUAGCUUGUCCUCGGUAAGUAUUAUAGCCGUGUGGUAAUACUGCCAGCUGUGACUGAGGACUGCUGACGUAGGUCAAGGAUGCU